AGCCUCCUUUGGUGGAUGGAGGGGGCCCAAGGGCCGGACAGGCUGUGGGAGAAGGUGAUGGGGUGACCACUGGCAGGCUUACGUCAGGGUGUCUGCGGGCUUCUGGCAGCAAGUCCCGGAAGUGGCUGGAAAGGCAGGUUUUACAGAAAAUGGACCAGAGGGGUUGUUUUUGCCAACUUUCCCCAAAAGACAAAAGGCCAUGCCAGGAUUUGAACCUGGAUCUGUCACCCCGGGAAAUCUGUACUCUCAUAUUGAGGAACCAGCUAAGAUGCAGCACUUUCUCUAUCUCUUGGGCUCCCUGACAGUGGACUUGGCAUGGAACUGGGUGCUUUUACCCAGGAGUCAGGGCUCUUCUUGGGGACCCAUUGGAGCCAUCUCCAUCUUGCAGAGCUCAGCAGCCUCAGGGGCUCUCCCAGCAGGAUCUUCAAGCCUAGACUUCUGUUUGGAGAAGGACCACCUCAAGCAGCCCCAGCCUUCCUGAUCUCCCAACACCAGGGGUUGCCUAGGAGCCACGUGGAGCCCUACCAGGAAACCAACCGAAGCUUCCAGAGGUCAAGGACCUUGUCCCGCUCCUCUACGGGCCCCGAAAUGCUUUUCCCUCCAUCUGUCCCAC
rnacentral:lncRNA from 10 species